UCUUCCUACAGAAAGAUCUGCAUAUCUUCUGCCAUCCAUUAUGCAUGAAGCCACCAGCAUCACAGAAGGGUAUAUAUUUUCGCAUACACUACAGAACUUUAGCAUUGCGGUGCCUUGCACUGUGCAACGUCAUCCCUAUCCAUUCCCUCAACCUUCCCCCAUUCCCUCUAUCAGAAUUGAUUUUGCAAAGAAAAAUUAGCAAGGUGCAUUGCUUGGAUCCCUUUAAAGGCUGAAGUGCUUCCCCUGUGUUCUUAAAGACGGUCUUUUCUCUCCUUUUCCUUUCUCGCUUCACACCACAACUAACAGAGGAAUUAAUUCACACACAGCCCUCAGCCAGAUGAAUAUAUGUAUGAAAUACCGAAGAUAGGAUCUCUGUUUGCAAAUCUUCAACUCCCAUGCACGUGGUCUGAGGUUCCAGCAGGAUUUGCAGGAAUAGUUGUAAUCCCAAAUCACCAGAGGCAUUUAACUCCCUUAGCACCAAGACACAGUGCCAUGAUUAAUAAGGACUGCCACCUUAAAGUUUAACAACUUGAAAAACGGGAUUUGUCUACCUCCACUGCAGCUCUGAAAUGCAGCAGAAUGCUGCACGGAGUUGGAAACAUUUGUUUUAGCCGGCAGAUGGGAUCCUGUCUAAUAUUUAACAGAUUCCAUCACGGAGAGCUUCUUUACUAUCACAUGCCCUUCUCAGCCAAAAAGAGGAGAGGGGGAUGGGAGGGGGUCAAAGAAAAAGAGAAAGAGGAGAAAUUAAAGCCUCCUUGCCCGGCACGCUGUCACGGUACUUCCAAAUCCAGAGGGUGAAGAGAAGGUUUUUUUUUUUUUUUUUUUUUUUUUUCCUUCUUUGAUUUAUCGCAAGAAGCACCCGCCGGAAUACCUACUGCAGUUAUUUCACUCAAGUGCCAGCAGCGGCCGGAUCCCCUCGCACCGGGGCAAUGCAGCAAGCACCCAAGUGCCCAGCUCAAUCACUCGCCACCAAGUUUAACCACGCCGGGGCUCCCGCCCGGAUAAAAUGACCUUACCCGCGGGAGUCUUCCGAAAUAUCCCUCCGGUGCGAUCCGUCCAGCGAGGUGAGCGCCGCUCACUACCACCACCGCCGCCGCCACACUGCGCACUCAGCCGGAGGAGCCCCGCGUUCACUCCCGGGGCUGCUGCUGCGCUGGCCGCGAGUGCCGGGGACGCGGCGCCCAUCCAUCCGCCGCGGCCGCAGGUAA